rnacentral:rRNA from 1 species
GCUUAACGUUGUCCUGCUAGAGAAACUAUUAGACUAGAGUGAGAUAGAGGCAAGUGGAAUUCCAUGUGUAGCGGUAAAAUGCGUAAAUAUAUGGAGGAACACCAGAGGCGUAGGCGGCUUGCUGGGUCUUUACUGACGCUGAGGCACGAAAGCGGGGGGAGCAAACAGGAUUAGAUACCCUGGUAGUCCACGCCGUAAACGAUGAGUACUAAGUGUCGGGAUUACUCGGUACUGAAGUUAACACAUUAAGUACUCCGCCUGAGUAGUACGUACGCAAGUAUGAAACUUAAAGGAAUUGACGGGACUCCGCACAAGCGGUGGAUCAUGUUGUUUAAUUCGAAGAUACACGAAAAACCUUACCAGGUCUUGACAUACUCUGCAAAGCUAUAGCGAUAUAGUGGAGGUUAUCAGGGAUACAGGUGGUGCAUGGUUGUCGUCAGCUCGUGUCGUGAGAUGUUAGGUUAAGUCCUAAAACGAGCGCAACCCUUGUC